rnacentral:rRNA from 1 species
AUACGGAGGGCGCAAGCGUUGCUCGGAAUCACUGGGCGUAAAGCGGGUGUAGGCGGUCUAGCAAGUCAGAUGUGAAAGCCCACGGCUCAACCGUGGAAGUGCAUCUGAAACUGCUAGACUUGAGUGCCGGAGAGGGAAGUGGAAUUCCUGGUGUAGGGGUGAAAUCCGUAGAUAUCAGGAGGAACACCGGUGGCGAAGGCGACUUCCUGGACGGCCACUGACGCUGAGACCCGAAAGCGUGGGGAGCAAACAGGAUUAGAUACCCUAGUAGUCC